UACGUAGGGUGCAAGCGUUGUCCGGAAUUAUUGGGCGUAAAGGGCUCGUAGGCGGUCCGUCACGUCGGGAGUGAAAACUCAGGGCUCAACCCUGAGCGUGCUUCCGAUACGGGCGGACUAGAGGUAUGCAGGGGAGAACGGAAUUCCUGGUGUAGCGGUGGAAUGCGCAGAUAUCAGGAGGAACACCGGUGGCGAAGGCGGCUCUCUGGGCAUUACCUGACGCUGAGGAGCGAAAGCAUGGGGAGCGAACAGG
rnacentral:rRNA from 1 species